GGGUCAGUAGGUUGGUCGUGCCACCGGUACGUACUGGUCUCACUGAUUCCUCCUUCCUGAAGAACCGUAAUGCCAUUAAUUUGGUGUUGCGGGGAAACAGGACUGUUACUUUGAAAAAAUUAGAGUGUUUAAAGCAAGCUAACGCUUGAAUACAUUAGCAUGGAGUAAUGAAAUAGGACGACCGAUCCUAUUUUGUUGGUUCCUAGGAUUGACGUA
rnacentral:rRNA from 1 species